rnacentral:lncRNA from 1 species
AUAUGCUGAAGUAUGCUCUGGAGCAUGCUUUGCAGAGAACUUUAUGGGUAUGGAUGGAAAGUCUUCAGAUGAAGAGUUCAAGAAUGUGACUUAGGAAUCCAAUCAGUAAUUCAUCUCAGAAGAAGCCAGCACGGGCAGAGAAGAUGAGCUGGUCCCAGGACCCGGAAGGAAGCUCCCCUGCUGUCAUCUCACACUCCUAGGGCAGAGAAGCUGAGCCGCUCCCAGCACCCGUAAGGAAGCUCCCCCACCGCCAUCCCAUGCUCCUAGGGCAGAGAAGCUGAGCUGAUCCCAGAACCCGGAAGGAAGCUCUCCCACCACCAUCCCAUGCUCCUAGGGCAGAGAAGUUGAGCCAGUCCCAGCACCCGGAAGGAAGCUCCCCCGCCGCCAUCCCAUGCUCCUAGGGCAGAGAAGGGCAGAGAAGAUGAGCCACCUGGGCACCAGAAGCACCCCUCACCCCCAUGGAAAUGAGAAGACACGUAAAUAAACCUCAGAAACAGACUUCUGGAUCACCAACAGCAACCCCAAAGGGAAACAAGAUGGAACAAUCUGAUACUCAACCACCUGGACUCUCUGAAC